UACGGAGGGGGCUAGCGUUGUUCGGAAUUACUGGGCGUAAAGCGCGCGUAGGCGGCUUUGUAAGUUAGAGGUGAAAGCCCAGGGCUCAACCCUGGAAUUGCCUUUAAGACUGCAUCGCUUGAACAUCGGAGAGGUAAGUGGAAUUCCGAGUGUAGAGGUGAAAUUCGUAGAUAUUCGGAAGAAACACCAGUGGCGAAGGCGGCUACCUGGACAAUUGCUGACGCUCAGGCACGAAAGCGUGGGGAGCAAAAGGG
rnacentral:rRNA from 1 species